GUAUUAUGUGAAACUAGAAGAGUUUAGUAAUUUCUCUGAGAAAAAUGGAAGGUGCCCUACUUGCCUUUACAUUACAAUAUGAUGGAAGCACUGCCAUCUUUUUUAUGGCAUCUAACAAUGUUUUACU